AGCAGCCGCGGUAAUUCCAGCUCCAAUAGCGUAUAUUAAAGUUGCUGCAGUUAAAAAGCUCGUAGUUGAAUUUCGGGACUAAUAUGUCGGUCGUGCCUCGGUACGUACUGGUUUAUUGGUUUCUCCUUUCUGAAGAACCAUGAUGUCAUUUAUUUGGUGUCGUGGGGAAUCAGGACUGUUACUUUGAAAAAAUUAGAGUGUUUAAAGCAGGCUCACGCUUGAAUACAUUAGCAUGGAAUAAUGAAAUAGGACGUUUGAUUCUAUUUUGUUGGUUUCUAGGAUCGACGUAAUGAUUAAUAAGGAUAGUUGGGGGCAUUAGUAUUCAAUUGUCAGAGGUGAAAUUCUUGGAUUUAUUGAAGACUAACUACUGCGAAAGCAUUUGCCAAGGAUGUUUUCAUUAAUCAAGAACGAAAGUUAGGGGAUCGAAGACGAUCAGAUACCGUCGUAGUCUUAACCAUAAACUAUGCCGACUAGGGAUCGGAUGAUGUUAAUUUUUUAAUGACUC
rnacentral:rRNA from 1 species